UACAGAGGGUGCAAGCGUUGCUCGGAAUCAUUGGGCGUAAAGGGCAGGUAGGUGGUCUGAUUUGUCUGGAGGUGAAAGCCUUGGGCUUAACCCAAGAAGUGCCCCGGAAACGGUCAGACUUAUGAGUCUUGGAGAGGGUUGCGGAAUUCCCGGCGUAGCGGUGAAAUGCGUAGAGAUCGGGAGGAACACCAGAGGCGAAGGCGGCAACCUGGACAAGCACUGACACUCAACUGCGAAAGCGUGGGGAGCAAACAGG
rnacentral:rRNA from 1 species